rnacentral:rRNA from 1 species
GCGAACGCUGGCGGCAUGCUUAACCCAUGCAAGUCGCGCGGGUGGUUUCGGCCAUCAGCGGCGGACGGGUGAGUAUCGCGUAGGAAUGUAUCCCGAGGUGGGGGACAACCCUGGGAAACUGGGGCUAAUACCGCAUGGGGCCUGUGGGUCAAAGCCUUAGGGCGCCUUGGGAGCAGCCUGCGUCCGAUUAGGUAGUUGGUGGGGUAAAGGCCUACCAAGCCUGCGAUCGGUAGCUGGUCUGAGAGGACGAUCAGCCACACUGGGACUGAGACACGGCCCAGACUCCUACGGGAGGCAGCAGUGGGGAAUAUUGGACAAUGGGCGCAAGCCUGAUCCAGCAAUGCCGCGUGGGUGAAGAAGGUCUUCGGAUUGUAAAGCCCUUUCGGCGGGGACGAUGAUGACGGUACCCGCAGAAGAAGCCCCGGCUAACUUCGUG